AAAUGUGAGGGUUAUCUGUUUGCAACAUCUGUCACUACAUUGAUCGCCAGGGUGUCCCCUUCCUCCCUCUCCACUCCAUAUAUAUCCCUCCUGAAGCUGUGCACCCAGUCAAAGAGGAUGACCAUCCCUGAUAGAGGAGGCCUGGCCUUCAGUCAAGGGUAUACAAGUAGCUGUGCUUCCCUGUUAGAACCUCCAAACAAGCUCUCAGUUUAUUUCAACAGACAUUUAUUGGAUGUUUCCUGCGUGUCAGGCACUGUUUUAGAUAGCUCAUCUGAAAUAGUGGUCUUC
ensembl:misc_RNA 7SK 7SK RNA